UGGGGAAUUUUGGACAAUGGGCGAAAGCCUGAACCAGCAAAGCCGCGUGAGGGAUGAAGUAUUUCGGUAUGUAAACCUCGAAAGAAUGGGAAGAAUAAAUGACGGUACCAUUUAUAAGCUCCGGCUAACUACGUGCCAGCAGCCGCGGUAAUACGUAGGGAGCAAGCGUUGUUCGGAUUUACUGGGCGUAAAGGGCGCGUAGGCGGCGCGGUAAGUCACUUGUGAAAUCUCUGAGCUUAACUCAGAACGGCCAAGUGAUACUGCUGUGCUAGAGUGCGGAAGAGGCAACCGGAAUUCUUGGUGUAGCGGUGAAAUGCGUAGAUAUCAAGAGGAACACCUGAGGCGAAGGCGGGUUGCUGGGCCGACACUGACGCUGAUGCGCGAAAGCCAGGGGAGCAAACG
rnacentral:rRNA from 1 species